GACUGGUGACAGAGUGAGAGAGGGGGUGACUAGUGACAGAGUGAAAGAGGGGGUGACUGUCACUAGUCACCCCAUCCCUCACUCUGUCACUAGUCACCCCCUCUCUCACUCUGUCACUAGUCAC